rnacentral:rRNA from 1 species
UGCAGUCGAGCGGCAAGGGCAGCAAUGCCCCUAGAGCGGCGGACUGGUGAGUAACACGUGGGUGAUCUACCUCGGGGUUGGGGAUAGCCAUUAGAAAUAGUGGGUAAUACCGAAUACGCUGCCUUGGCUACGGCCAGGGCAGGAAAGGCGCUACGGCGCCGACCUGAGAUGAGCCCGCGCCCCAUUAGCUAGUUGGUGAGGUAACGGCCCACCAAGGCUAUGAUGGGUAGGCGGCCUGAGAGGGUGUACGCCCACACUGGGACUGAGAUACGGCCCAGACUCCUACGGGAGGCAGCAGCUAAGAAUAUUCCGCAAUGGACGAAAGUCUGACGGAGCGACGCCGCGUGGAUGAUGAAGGCCGGAAGGUUGUAAAAUCCUUUUGUCGGGGAAGAAUAACCAUGGGAGGGAAUGCCCGUGGGAUGACAUGAACCGGCGAAUAAGCCCCGGCUAACUACGUGCC